ACGCUCGACACCUACGGGAGGCAGCAGUGAGGAAUAUUGGUCAAUGGGCGCUAGCCUGAACCAGCCAAGUAGCGUGAAGGAUGAAGGCUCUAUGGGUUGUAAACUUCUUUUAUAUGGGAAUAAAGUUUUCCACGUGUGGAAUUUUGUAUGUACCAUAUGAAUAAGGAUCGGCUAACUCCGUGUCAGCAGCCGCGGUAAUCUGAGCGGGCUGGCAAGGC
rnacentral:rRNA from 1 species